AUGCUCCCCAUGCAGCUCGCGCUGUCUCUGUCUGUCUCUGUCUCUCUGUCUCUCCUACGUUUGCUCAGGGCUGCAGACAGUUGGUGCUUCGGUGUCUACGAUGCAGAGUCGCCCAUCCCGUCCGGGGCAUUUCCCCGAAUGCUCUCCCAGGGGCGGGUGACGGCCGUGUCGCGGGGAUCCGUCUCCCAGGGCGGGGGCGCGGGGGGCGCGGGGGUCCCGGGCUCGGCCCCUCGGCCCUGCGAACCCCGUGGGCGGCGAGUGGCGGCCACGCGCGGGGCGCCCGCCUCGUCCUCCUGCGCCCGCCCUCCGUUCACGCCAGCGGGGCGGCUGGACGUCGCCCCUCGCCGCGGGGGCCUCCGCACCCACAUCACCGUCGGCGGCGGCGGGGGGCUCCCGGGCUCCCGGGACUCCCGGAGCCGGCUGAGCGCCAGGAUCUCCCCGCCGGCGGGGCCCAGCGCGAGCUCCCCGCGGUCGCCGCAUCGCCCCGAGCGCCCUGCACCUCGCCCCGAGCCCCGCGCCCCGGAGCCCCGCAACCUGGAGCCCCGCACGCCAGAGCUCUGCACCCCGAGCCCUGCAGCCCCGCACCCCGUAGCCCCGCACCCCGAGUGCCCUGCAGCCCCGCACCCCGGAGCCCCGCCCCGCGCCCCCAGGGCCCUGCAGCCCAGCUCCACACCUCGGAGCCCUGCAGCCCCGCACCCCGUAGCCCCGCACCCCGAGCGCCCUGCAGCCCCGCUCGGAGCCCCGCACCCCAGAGCCCCGCACCCCGGAGCCCUGCAGCCCGCACCCCGAGCGCCCUGCAGCCCCGCACCCCGGAGCCCCGCCCCGCGCCCCCAGGGCCCUGCAGCCCCGCUCCACACCUCGGAGCCUUGCAGCCCCACACCCCGGAGCCCUGCACCCCAAAGCCCCGCCCGGACCCGCCUCCACCCGCCGCAGCACGACCCCGGGACGGGCGCGCGGUCUCCCCGCUGGCCCCGCGGCCUCCCUGCGGCCCAGCCGCCUCCCCUCGGAGAAAUCCCCAUCUCCUGGGAGGGGGGUUUAUCAACCCCAGCGUCUCCCCAGGGGGUCAGCUACCUGGAUCUCUAA
rnacentral:lncRNA from 1 species